rfam:Echinostoma caproni strain Egypt genome assembly, scaffold: ECPE_scaffold0019052
GGCCUCGUAGCUCGGCUGAUAGAGAGUGCGUUUUACAAAGGCGUAGGCGGCGUCCAUGCGUGGGUUCGAAUCCCACCGAGGCUA